GAGCAAAGCUUGGAGGUGGGGCUUUUGGGCAACCACGAGAGCUGCAGCCUGCUAGUGGGGUGACCCUGGAGGGACCAGUAACUUGAAAGGACUACUCUACUGGGUGUCAACUGUAGGCAUGUGGCACAGGCUGGAGGAGACUGGGCGUCCAGUCCUGCCGGGCCAGCCGUCGAGCAUGCCCAGCAAACCUUGAUGAAGAAUCACAAACACUCAAAUGGCCCAGUGAGACCGUGGACAGGCAUGCCAGGCGAAGCAAGUAAAAUCUCAGACACCAGCUAAAUCUGAAUUUCAGUACUGAAUGCUGAGUCCUUGGAGAGCCGGCGCCCAUCUGCUUUUACCACCAAGAAGUCAGCAGGCCAACGGACGGACGCUCUAGCAAUGCCUGCAGGCAUGGUUUGAGAACGAUGUCCAUUCUCUGAAACUCACGUUGAAAUUCAAUCCCUGCUGUGAGAUGGAAGAGGCAGGUGCAGUUAUAGGUUUCAGAGCACUUAAGAGGUGAGUCAGCUCUGCCCUAAUGAGUGGAUUCAUCCAUUCCCCCGUGAAUGGACUUGCAGGUUAAUGGUUAUCUCCGGAGCGGGCCUGCUACCAAAGCCAGUUUGGUGAGGUCUCUCAUGCGUUCCUGGCCUCUGGCCAUCGGGUGCCCUGCCCCACUUGAGCACUCUGCCAGCAAGGCCAUCACGGCUGACCUGGGGACAGAACCAUGAGCCAGAGUGGACCUCUCUUCUGGUCUGGUAUGUGCUGCUGGCAGCAGGAAGGGGCCCGGGGGCAUCAGGAGGUCUGGGGAGGGCCGAGGCGGGCGAGAGGCAUGUGCUCAGGUUUAGGUAAUUCUGACUACUAUCAAAUGGAGGGUCUGAAAACAUCAAUUCAUUCAUUCAUUUGUUGGUUGAUGAUACAAACACCCCCCAGGACCAUGGCCAGGCCUGUGAAUGGGAAGAAAUGGUCAAGAGAGUGUGGGCUGCUAGUCUGGGUCUGAAUUCUGCUUCUACCCCUAGGGCCGUAUGACCCUGGACAAGUCACCCCACAGCUUUCCCCCGCCAUGAAAGAAGGAGAACAAGAGUGACGCUUUUCCUUCAUUAAGACCAGAUUAAAUGGUGUCCUCUCCCAGCUGCCCACAGGCUUCCUCUGGACCCCAUGGUCCCACACGCUCACACCUGCUAUGCACAUGCCACCAAAGCUCCUUCUGAAAACAGCUGUGUGUGCUGCCCCGAGCUCAGGUCCUGGCUCCCCAGGCCUCUGCAGGUGGGAUCUCUGUGCCAACACCAGAUGAGACUGCCACCCGACCCCCAACAUCCUGCUUAGGGAGGAAGGACAGAUGCCCUCUGGGAUGGCAACUUGUGGUCCCUGCAUCUGAGAAGGACAAAGGCAGGCAGAACUGAGAGUCACUACCAAGACUAUUUUCUCUGGGAAAACCUUUAAAUUCUGGCAUGCAGCAUUUCUGGUUCUACCCAGGAACAGCCCCAAAGCAAGUUCCAAGAUGAUUCCUGUAUCUGCCUUUCUUCUCCCUCUUCCCAGUUGCUCUCUGUUGCUUCCCAAAGCACCUUGUACCCAGAGUAUGGCAGCUGCCAUUGUAUUGAAAUGUAAGGGAAACAGUGAUCUGGGAUUGUAGGAAGCUUUCUGGGUAAUUUCUAUUUCUAAAGAUUGUAAAAAAACCAAUAUCUCCCCUGCUCAACUGUCCGAGUUGCUCCCACGAGCAUCAAGAACGUUUCCUCCCUGCCACCUCCCCCACCACCACCACCUGUCUCGUGUCAACCCUGUCCAUUCCUCUGAAGGCUGCUGCUGAGCGCUGGGAGUGUCCGGAACAUCUUGGGGAGGAUUUUGAGUUGGGUAAUUUGGGCUCCUCCAAUUUCCUAAGUUCUAUGAUGCCUAAGAUUUUGUUCUAUUGUUUCCUGCUAAAUAGAUGAACAAUUCCCCUCUCCCACCAGUGCUGAAAGUGCUUCCGUGGGGAGUGAGGGGGGAGACGUGUGACUGCCCCCACCCCACCCUCGAGGGCACGUGCUUACAGAGCUGUGGCAACGCGUGUGUGAGCCCCUCUAAAGCCCCUGGAAAUCAAAUCCGGUGCCGUUGUUGGGUUUGGACCUGGAGUGUGUGCAGCACAGCAGCACAGCUGGCAUUAGGGACAAUCAGGCCAACAAGGUGACCUACCGUGACCCAGAUGAUGGAGGAAACAGCAUCCCCCAUCCUUCCGUGUGCCUUGUCCCACUGGGCAUUUCCCCCAGGCCAGCUCCUGGUCUCCCCCCGUGGCCCUAUGGGGUGCAGGGUCUGCAGAGGGCCACUCAGAGAGGUCUGUGAAUUGCCAUAGGUCCUAAGACCUGCCCUGCUCAGCCCUCUGAUGAAAGCCGGCCGUUUUGGAAGCUGAGCUGGAGAAGAGACGCUGCGGUGCAUCCAGAGAGUGGAGUGUUCCUUCUCGCGGGAGAGAAGAGAGCUGCCCUGGAGCAGCACACAGGAAACUUAGCUGCAUAUUGCUGAAAGAGAAAGAAACUUGUGCAGGCUCGAGUCUGACUCCAGCUCCAGGACCUGGAAAAGAGCUCUGGAGACAGUCAAAGGAUCAGUGGGUGCCCCGGUGGGGGGACAGGGCAGGAACAGGUGGAGCACAGAUACUACAGUGGUGGACACGUCAUUAUACAUCUGUCCAAAUCCAGAAAAUGCACAGCCCAGGAGUGAACCUGAGCUUGAAGCACGGAUUGGGGGGUGGAUGAUGGCAGGUGAAUUGGGUUCAUUGUUUGUAACAAGUGUUCCACCUGGGACAGGAGGUUGACAUGUGGUGGGGGAUGGGGGGCUAAGCAGCGCUUGAUACUUCUGCUCAAGUUUUGCUAUGAACCUGAAACUGAUUUAAGACUCUUUUUUUUUUUUAAUAAGGUAGGGCAGAGUAAAGUCAGCACCUCCUCCAGGAAGCCUUCCCUGACUCUGGCCCUGCCAUGGCCUCCUGCCAGGAAUCUGCAGCCAACCUUGCUUCUCCCCUGGGCCAGCUCCUCCGGACUAAAGGGUGACCGUGGUUUCCUGAUUCUGAACCAUCAAGCCCUUAAGGGCCCUGGGGUGUGUGCCUUCAACCCUUCUGUCCCCUGCUGUAGAGCAUGCGGUAGUGUCCGUGGAACACCCGCUGCCCCUGCUGAUGAUUGGGUGGGCUUGUACGGGAUGAAGGAUGCCCAGUGCCAGGCACCUUGAUGUGCUCAGCUGUGGUCCGCUGCUGCUGCCGCCGCUGUGCCCAACCCUGGUAACAGAGCCCAGGGACCUGAGCUGCCAUCAGGACAUGUGACCAGACCCCCGCUAUGAGCUUUACUCCCUCCCCGCCUUGUCCAGGAUGGCAGGCUGAGCCCCCUUCCCAGGUGCCAGCUGGGCAGCAGAGCCCUCACCUGGCCGUGCCUGGGGGUCUCCUGGCUUCCAGGAGGUCUCUGAAUGGCGGUCCUCCCCACCAGGAGCAUCUUCCUUCUCAAAGUUGCCUCUGUCUCCUGGAUGCUCCCUUUUGGCAUGUGAAACUUCCCAUUUACUUGGUGACUCACCCACGAGGCAUUAAGUGGCUGUCACUCUCUGCCUUCAGAGGCGGUUAGAUCACGACUCAGACGCGCAGGCGGCCACAGAGCUCCCGAGACAAUGCCGCGUGUGUGCGGGGGCGUGUGGAGGUGUUGGCAGGCGUGGGCCCAAUGUAGCACGCACCCUAGUGACACAGAGCUGUGUGACCGGCACCAAACUCCCCCAGCACCACCCAAACUCUUUCCACUUGCACUGUGAUCCCAGGAGGCUGUGGAGGGGGCACAGUUGGGGUUUUUAAAGGAAAGAUGGAGAAGAGGAAGAGCCCAGCAUGGGCAGGAUGGCGGAGGGAGGUGGAUGGAGGGGACUUGGGAGCCUGGAGGCUCUGCCACCCAGCAGUUGUGGGAUGUGUGACCCUCUAGGACAUGGAGGGCCGACCCCAAUAGGUCACCUGGUGGUAAGACAAUCAUCAAGCUGAAUCAGCAAAAACAGCUUCCUACGGAGGUGUGGGCAAGAGCAAGUGGGGCAGCCUCAGCAGGGCCAUGGAGGGCGAGCCUAGGUGGGAGCAGGGCUGAGUGAGCCCAGGGCUUACCCAACCCCAAGGUGCCAUGCAACUGCUUUGCCCCACGUGACUUCCGUGGAAUCUAGACUCCUGGCCCAGUGGCCCUGGCAGGACAGCUCUGUGGUGGCUGUGUGUGCAGCCUGGGUGACAGCCCCCAGCCUAGGAGCAUUGCCCCACCUCUCCCAAGCCUCUGAGGCCCAGGGCCUCUCUUCGAGGGCAGUUCUGACUCAGGAGGCUGGGGAGCUCACAGCAGGAACCUGAACUGCCGGUGCCGCGAUCCCCCCCACCCAAUGAUAAACCAUGGGCUUUUCAGUCAUAAGGCUCAAGUGUCCCCAUGGAUCGGAGGCCCCAGGGGGAGUGGCACUGUUAAAUGCAGAUCCCUGGGCUUGGCUCCUGGGGUCGCUGAUGUGGGUGGUCUUAGGUGUGCAGGAUGUGAUUGACACGCCACCACAUUCUUACUCAUUCACCCAGUAGGCUAAAACCCCAGCUCAGGUCACAGAAGCCAUGCUCUGGGGGCCACAGGAUCCCUGGGACAUUCAGCCUGGUCAUUUGGGGGCCACUUCCCCAAUGCUCAAUACUGCUUGUUUACCCCCCUGCAACUCUGAAAGGUGACUUGGCAGCCGAUGCCUGUUUAUAUGCCAAGGGGCUGGUUGUUUUCCCUAAGGCUGCCCUGGCCAGGGGCAGGGGUUUCCACGCCCUCCACCCAAGUCCAUCUGAAGGAGCUUGGCUGGAUCCUAGACCACAGCAAGACCACAGUGCCAGCAUGAUGAUAUCAUUGUAUGAGUGCCACGACUCAGUGGCUUAAAACAACAGACAUUUGUUCUGACGCAGUUCUGGAGGCCAGGAGUCUAAAAUCAGUAUCACUGGGCCAAAAUCAAGAGGAACCCAUUUCUUGCCUCUUCAGCUUCCCGUGGCUGCCAGCAUUCCUCAGCCAGCAUGCCAGGCCAAGGCCAGCAUUCUCAGCUCUCCCUCUGCUCAGUCUCCACGUGGCCUGCUCCCCUGCCUCUUUCCUAUAAGGAUGAUGUAACUACAUUAAGGAUCCUCCUGGGUACUGGGAUGACAGCCCCUUCCCAAGACCCUCAGCUUAAUCUCACACCUGCAAAAAUCUUUUUCCAAAUAAAAUCACAUUUGCGGGUUCCCAGAGCUAGGACAUUAUUUGGCCUAGUACACCAAUGGUCCCAAAAGGCCCCAGUUCUGCUCUCUUCAGAAGACAACUCACUGGGCCUGUUUCCAUUUUUCUGUGGAAGUUUGGCGUAGCCCAAUGUCUGGAACUGGCAAGAGGUCAAUUGAGUAAGUGGAAGUGAGUUUUAAAUAGAAACUGACAAGGAAGUGGGUCAAGGUCAUAAACGAAGAUUCUUAAAGUUGUGGGAAGAAAUCAGAAUGAGGUUAGGAGAGGCAUAUUUGGAGGUCACACUAAAGAGUCCUAGAAGCAAGAAAGAGCUUGCACGAGGGCGAUGCAUCCGUGAUGCAUUCAUUCAUUUGAUGCCCAACAGAGGAGAACAGGGCUGGGCCGGCAGGGAUCAAGGGCAGGCCUGGAGAGAGGGCGCUCAAUGGCCAGUCUUUCUCCCACCAGAGCUGAGCUUCAGUAAGUCCUCCUGUAUCUUCACCAGUCAUUGCUUUAAAUAUUUAGCUGCUAGAGUUUCCGGCACGUUGAGAUUUAUGAUGAUUAAAUCUUUGUGGUCUGUGCCUCGGACUGUUACAUAAUACUCUUUGUUCCUGUGAAUUUGCUCUGCCUCUGGGUCUUUCUUAUCCAAUAUCAGUUUGCCAUUCUUAUUGCUUUUUUUUUUUUUUAAAUUCCACUUUUCCAAUGUCCACUUGGAACCUCCACUUGCCAACAUUUUUGGUGUGUUUCCUAUAAACAGCACCUAGCUGGUUUUGAGUGUUUCACACAGUCUUACAAUGUUUGCUGGGAAAUUCAGCCCAUACCCAUUUAUUAUGAAAGCUGAUCUCUACAGUUAUUUAUUUCUUCUCACUUUAUGUUUCCUUUUGCUAAACUGUAUUGUUAUCCUGCUAUUUUCUCUCUUUUACCCCUUCCUUAAUUUUGGGUCUGUGAACCAAAGUUAUCCAUAAAAGUCAUGUUUGUAUUUGGGAA